GUGAUCACUUCCACAUACAUUUUAAAUGGGAAUGAUAUAGAAGAUGAUCAUGGUUUCUGUGGAAGGAUGACGUGCAAAUUUGCAAAGCAUUCUAUACUUCU
rnacentral:snRNA from 1 species